rnacentral:rRNA from 1 species
UACGUAGGGUGCAGGCGUUACUCGGAAUUACUGGGCGUAAAGCGUGCGCAGGCGGUUUCUUAAGUCAGAUGUGAAAGCCCCGGGCUUAACCUGGGAACUGCGUUUGAAACUGGGAGACUUGAGUGUGGCAGAGGGGGGUGGAAUUCCACGUGUAGCAGUGAAAUGCGUAGAUAUGUGGAGGAACACCGAUGGCGAAGGCAGCCCCCUGGGUUAACACUGACGCUCAUGCGCGAAAGCCAGGGGAGCGAACGGG